UGUGCUGCUAGGGUGGUCUCAACCUGGGUUCAUUCCCCAGCUAAUAAAGUUCGAUUCUUUGUAGUGGCUCAGAGUAUAUAUUAUUAACAAAAUAAUAUAGAAAUGUUUUUCAAAAAAAAAAGCUAAUAAAACCAAAUUUUGAUAGAAAAUAAGUACCGUGAGGGAAAGGUGAAAAGAAAUUUGUAGAAUGUUUAAAAGAUUCUGAAAUCUAGUGCAGUGAAACAGUUAAAGCGUGUUGUUUUAACGUACCUUUUGUAUAAUGGGCCAACUAGUUUAUAAAAUUAGCGAGCUUAUCAAAUCGCGUAAUGAAAAUGUUAUAGUUAAUUUUAUAAGACCCGAAGUCAAGUGAUCUAAUCAUGGCUAGGUAGAAGAUCGAACCCAUAAAUGUUGCAAAAUUUCGGGAGAAGCUGUGAUUAGGGGUGAAAGGCUA
rnacentral:rRNA from 1 species